UAGCUCAAGGGUUAGAGUACUGGUCUUGUAAACCAGGGGUAGUGAGUUCAAAUCUUGC
rnacentral:tRNA from 1 species